rnacentral:misc_RNA from 1 species
UAGCACUGAACGUGACGAUACGUACUGAUCGAUGCGUCAAGUCGUCGACUACGUAGCUCGCUGAUGCCGAGCUAUGAGAUGACGUCGCACGCGACAUCGAUAUCGAUGCACGAGACUACUGCUGACAGUCGACGAUCAGAUGGAUCGUCGGCGUCCAGUGUGCAUGUCGUCGUCAGCUAGUCGUAGAUGUCGUAAGUCUGCACGAGGCACCUCGCCGUGAUGCAGCGAAUGAUGCCGCACUCACGGGACUGCGGGUACUCGAGAGGUGGGAUGACGUCAGAUCAUCAUGCCCUACGUUCAGGGCUCAGCCAUGCUACAAUGCUCGUACACGGGAUGCGACAGCCGAAGCUGGAGCGAUCCUGAAACCCGUCUCAGUUCGGAUGCAGUCUCAAUUGACUGCGUGAGGCGGAUCGUAGUAUCGGGAUCAGCACGUCGCGUGAUGCGUUCCCGGGCCUUGACCCCCGGCCGUCAAAUCCAGAAAAUUGGCAACACCCGAAACCGGUGGCCUUACCCCCUGCGGGAAGGAACCGUUUAAGGUGAGGCUUGUGAAUGGGGAUAAAUUGGUACCAGGUUACCGUUCCGGAAGGUGCGGCCGGAUCCCCUCCUUUUUUCGGAGAAUUCGGCCCGAAGUUUCUCCGGCGGUGCGUUCCCCGGGGUUGCGGCCAUUGGGGCGGUUUGGGGGUGGUGGUGUGGAAGAGAUCAAGGGCUUUUGGGGGCUUCGUUGGGGGAAGUUUCGCGGGAAGGGGGGGGGAGCGCUUUUGGGCUUCCGGAUUCCCCCCCCCGGCCUUGUGCCUGGCGCGAUUCGAUGCCCAUCGUGCCUGAUGGCGGGCUGGUCCCGUCCGGACGGCGUGGUGGUGCGUGGUGGCUUGAGAACUGGAUAGUGGACGCGAGCAAGACGGGGUUUCCUUUGAUUCCUCGUUCUUGCUGUUGAUUUCGAAUCGAACUCUAUUUUUAGUGUUUGUUUCGAUCGUUUUGUGAUCAUUUUAGUGUGAUGAUUUGUCGUCUGGGAAUUUGCUAGGAAGGAUCCUUGCGGCCAUGCGCACCCGUGUGUGCCU